rnacentral:rRNA from 1 species
ACGUGGAUAACCUGCCCUAAGGUGGGGCAUAACCCCGGGAAACUGGGGAUAAUACCCCAUAGGUUAGAGAUGCUGGAAUGCACUUUAACCCAAAGCUCCGGCGCCUUAGGAUGGAUCUGCGGCCGAUUAGGUAGUUGUUGGGGUAAUGGCCCAACAAGCCUGUAAUCGGUACGGGUUGUGGGAGCAAGAGCCCGGAGAUGGACUCUGAGACACGAGUCCAGGCCCUACGGGGCGCAGCAGGCGCGAAAACUUUACAAUGCAGGAAACUGUGAUAAGGGAACCCCGAGUGCCCGUAUACGCGGGCUGUCCAGGUGUUUAAAACGCAUCUGAAGAAAGGGCCGGGCAAGACCGGUGCCAGCCGCCGCGGUAAUACCGGCGGCUCGAGUGGUGGCCACUUUUAUUGGGCUUAAAGCGUCCGUAGCUUGGUUGUUAAGUCUCUUGGGAAAUCUCACGGCUUAACCGUGAGGCGUCUAAGGGAUACUGGCAACCUAGGGACCGGAAGAGGUGAGAGGUACUCCAGGGGUAGGAGUGAAAUCCUGUAAUC